rnacentral:rRNA from 1 species
GAUGAACGCUGGCGGCGCGCCUAACACAUGCAAGUCGAACGGUGAAGUCCCUUCGGGGACGGAUCAGUGGCGGACGGGUGAGUAACGCGUGAGUAACCUGCCCUUAUGAGUGGAAUAACGUCUGGAAACGGACGCUAAUACCGCAUAAUGCAUCGGGAAGACAUCUUCCUGAUGCCAAAGAUUUAUCGCAUAAGGAUGGACUCGCGUCUGAUUAGAUAGUUGGUGGGGUAACGGCCUACCAAGUCGACGAUCAGUAGCCGGACUGAGAGGUUGAACGGCCACAUUGGAACUGAGAAAAACGGGUCCCAGACUCCUACGGAGGGCAGCAGUGGGGAAU